UACGUAGGGUGCGAGCGUUGUCCGGAAUCAUUGGGCGUAAAGCGCGUGUAGGCGGUUCGGUAAGUCUGCUGUGAAAGUCCAGGGCUCAACCCUGGGAUGCCGGUGGAUACUGUCGGACUAGAGUACGGAAGAGGCGAGUGGAAUUCCUGGUGUAGCGGUGAAAUGCGCAGAUAUCAGGAGGAACACCAAUGGCGAAGGCAGCUCGCUGGAACGGUACUGACGCUGAGGUGCGAAAGCGUGGGGAGCAAACAGG
rnacentral:rRNA from 1 species